ACCUGAAUGGCUGUGCCGCAAUUGAUUGUAAAACUGGGUCAGAAAAAAUAUUUACCCAGGGCAUGCGGCCAGAGAGGAGCUCCAAGCAUACAGUAUUGGCUUGUCAAUAACUACAGCAGCUAAAUGAUAGUUCACGUAAUAAAACCCAUCAUGAGGAGGUAUUCCACACUUCCAGCCUUCCUGACCCCCUGUACCCUGCCCAUAUGCCAGAGAAGGGCCACACCUCAGCCUAGAGAUGAUCUUCCAGAGUGGAUGGGUUGGAACGAGGAGAAGAAAAGGAUAGAAUGUGACAGGGGAAUGGAAACUCUUAGGCACACUUAAGAGAUGGACCAUGAGGAAAAAACAUUCUCCCUGGUAAAAAACACUGCCCACUGCGGGCUAUGCACUGAAAUGGUUCAUCUCCUUCAAUGUCAUCACACUUUCCUUUGUCAUCCACGGUGGCCUUUAUUGCAUUCUCUCCUGCCUUGCGUGUUCUCCUUACCAUCAGUGUAAAAUUCAAUCAACUUGUGCUGAGGGCGACUGAAGCUUUGUUUGGGCCGGUAUUGUGAAGUAGGUAGGCGCAGUCCUGGUUCUGUGGAUACUAGGCAGACAGGGUCCAUCUAUAAUAUUCCCCUCAAUAAGGUCUCUAUCCAAUGUGUGUGAGUGUUUCUGAGUGUGCGUGUGUGUAUGGGAAGAAUGAUUCAACACCGUCCUCAUCAACCCAGCACUUCAAUACACCAUACUCUCUCCCUCUGCUUUCCCAACAAAUAAGCUUUUAUGUACCAUAUUCUAUAUCCUCCCUCAGCCUUUACAAAAUCAAACGCUCCCCCACACUGUCUCCCGUCAGCAGCACCGCAGAUCAAAGACACACUGAAGUUAGAGCAAAAUUUAUAACAAACACCCGGCACCACUAAACUUUAAGUGUGUGUGUGUGUGCGCUGCAUGGCUCUUUAUUUCAGCCAGAACACAACCUUCAGCUCUACGGAGGCCAGACUCUGACACAAAGCUAGGCUAAAAUAAGUGUAAGGUUUUUUCAGACAGAUGAUUGACAUGAAUUAGCCGACAAUGGAUUACUCAGAGCAGCUCCCUGCGCAUGCACAUAAACACAUACACACGUGCACAUAUAGUGAGCACACAUACACGUACACACUCACACACAAGCUCACACACACACAGAGCAUAAUGCAGAUGUUGAUUAUCAUCAAUGUCAGAUGUUGAUUAUCAUCAAUGUCAGAUAUGAUCAAUUGACCACAAAACAUAUUUUCCUCAUGAACUGCUUCAGCAUGUAGCAUAUCAUUGCACUGGCAGCACCAGCCAAAGUCAUAUGAUCAGGGAUGGAUCACUUACUUGAUAUUUACAUUAACACACUACUUUUCACCUAUCUAGCUGAAAUAUACACUCUCUCCUCCUUUACUAUUACAGUUGACUUUACAGUGAUUGGAGCACUCCAAUCCAUUACGGUAUGAUUACACCAUGAAAUGGUCACAGUGGUGAAAAAUUUGACAAUAAAACUGCCAGUGCUGAUCGUACCCUGUUUCACCAGUAAGACUGAAUGGCAGCGUAUGCACACACACACACACACACACACACACACACACACACACACACACACACACACACACACACACACACACACACACACACACACACACACACACACACACACACACACACACACACACACACACACACACACACACACACACACACACACAAAAGUGCCAUGUGUAUGAUAGUAAACCUAUGGGCCCUGUCAGGCAACAAAUCCCAUGAACUUGGCCUCCAUGAUGAUAGAAAUACUCCGGCGCUCCGUUGCCAGGGAAGCUGAUGGGGACUGAACACUGCACAUUUCCAACAGCCCGCUUCAGACCAAUUCACAUGGCUCCUAAAAUGUUACAGGACGUCAUUGUGCGCUCACAAAGCAUGCAUGCAAUUAAAUUUCCUUUUGCCGUGUUUCACGGUCAUCCAUGAAUUGGCCCUGUUACGGGCCUGAGUUUCCAUUCGCGAAAUCCUGCUCCACCCUCUUGGCUGGGACCCACCCCGGCCUUUAGCUCUGAAUGGUUGGCCUUUUGAUGGAGAACAUUGGGAUGUCAGUGCAGGGCAGGCCAUCUGAGCCACACAGGGACAUGGCUACUUAUCAGGCUAUUAGCAGGUGAGCGUGAUUAGUAUUCAAACACGGAGUCUUAUUACCACAGUGAUGACAUAGUGGUGGCGUAAAUCACAGAGAUAAAUGACUGUAGUAAAGAUUUGAAAGGGGUUGUGAUAAUGAUCUAUGUUAUAAU
ensembl:lncRNA